GAAGGAAAGAAGGAAGGAAGGAAGCUGCCCUGUUUCUGUUUUUACUUCAGAGCCUGCUUUGAACUUUAACUACAGCUAGGGUCCAUACCACUGAGUACUUCUGCUUCUGGUCCUCUGUCUCCUUGGGAACCACCAAAAGACACACAACAAACAAACACAACCCGGAUUUUUGAAGGCAUCAAAGAACCCAGAGGCUGCUUGAAUUUGAGGAGCAAAGAUCCUUGGAGAAUGGAGGGAGGCACAGUGAAGUGAUUUGGAUCUUCUCUAUAGCUUUUUCUUGAAGACACUUGAUGAUUCACAGAGAUUGACAUUUAGUCUCAGCAGAAAGUAGCAACCUAGGAUAUAUUUACUAGUGUCAUGGGAUGAAGAGACCAAAAUUGGAACUCAGGUGCCAAGACCCUCAAGAAAAGGGAACAACAGGAAUGUGAACAUAUAAUUCCACGAGAUUUUGUUCUUGGAAUAUUUGUUAAUCCUAAAAUUCCCAGAUGUAAGAAGCAGAAAAAUCAAGCAUAAAGAAACUAAUUGCUAAAGAGCUAGGGAGAAAAUUUUUUAGCACUCUCAUAGCACUGGAUAUUAAAAAAUUGAAAUGCAGGCCUGGUCCAGACUCAGUGACCCUGGUGUAGACCCAGGCUUUCAGCUGCAACUCCUAUAAUUUCAGCAAGUGUUAACUGGAAAGAUACUGAUGCUGUAAGAGAUGUGGCCUUACUCUAACCCAGAAGAAAUUCUGUAGAUAAAACAGUAUCAUUUGGAACCACUACAGUUUUCCAUGCACUGUGCCUAUCAAAUACUACAUAGUGUGCCAGUGUGCUGGGAAUUAAAAUCUAACCAACAAAAACCAAGAGAAGAAAUAGGCAAUAACAAGAGAUAUACAGGUAAUCCAGGUAUUGGAUUUUUCAGACACAAACUUUAAAUUAGCUAUGAUUAAUGUGAGUAAACCAGUUUAUUCAUUUGAUUAGAAAUUGUAUUUGUAAUGGAGGUAUGAUGUGCAAAUUCACAUAUGUUGAUGGCCUACAAGAUGUUCAGUGAGUCUUGUGCUAUAAAAUUUUAUCUUCACAUUAACUCUCGAAGGGAUUAUUAGUAUCAUCUUAUUUAAAAAAAUUCAGAUUCAGUAAGGAUAUGUAUAUCAUUUAUCCUUUAAAAUAUACAAAAUACAUAAAAUUUACCUUGGAAUGAAAUAUUCAAUUCAAUGUAAAAAAGGACAAUUACUAUUUCAAGGAAAUUUUUAAAGUAAGAAAUAGAGAGUGCCAAGGUCUCUAUAAUACGAAAGAGUACUGCCAAAGAAAUGAAUCAGGUAUGGAAGAACCAAUGGAACAUGACAUAUUUUUUGAGCACUUACCAAUGGGACCAUAAUUGGGCAACCAAAAUUGGUUAUCUCAUCCUACCUGUGGGAGAAUUAAAGUCUGUGUACAAAACAUUCCCUUCGUUUCUCAUCAUGUUUAUUCCAGCCCUCCCCAGGGCCACUAAGCUAAAGAGAAUGAGGUGUUACUCAGAUCUGUCUUUAUUAGCAAAGUGAACACAGUUCAGGGAGUAGCCCAAUCUGUCUUUAUUAGCUCAGUGAACACAGUUCAGGGAGUAGCACCUCAGCUGAUCAACAAAUAUAAGAAUUGUUGACUAUUUCUACUCUCUGAACAUUGGCUCUGGCCAUAUAUUGUUUUCCUUCUAGUUCCUCUUCUAUUUUGGGGGAAAAUUAUUAUUUCACACAUUAUAAAGUUACUAUAAAAGCCACCAACUUAAUUUAAUACAU